UACGGGGGGGGGCAAGCGUUGUUCGGAAUUACUGGGCGUAAAGGGCUCGUAGGCGGCCAACUAAGUCAGAUGUGAAAUCCCCAGGCUCAACUUGGGAACUGCAUCCGAUACUGGAUGGCUUGAAUUCGGGAGAGGGAUGCAGAAUUCCAGGUGUAGCGGUGAAAUGCGUAGAUAUCUGGAGGAAUACCGGUGGCGAAGGCGGCAUCCUGGACCGACAUUGACGCUGAGGAGCGAAAGCUAGGGGAGCAAACGGGG
rnacentral:rRNA from 1 species